GUCCACGCCGUAAACGGUGGAUGCUGGAUGUGGGGCCCGUUCCACGGGUUCCGUGUCGGAGCUAACGCGUUAAGCAUCCCGCCUGGGGAGUACGGCCGCAAGGCUAAAACUCAAAGAAAUUGACGGGGGCCCGCACAAGCGGCGGAGCAUGCGGAUUAAUUCGAUGCAACGCGAAGAACCUUACCUGGGCUUGACAUGUUCCCGACGGUCGUAGAGAUACGGCUUCCCUUCGGGGCGGGUUCACAGGUGGUGCAUGGUCGUCGU
rnacentral:rRNA from 1 species